rnacentral:piRNA from 1 species
UGAUACCCUGUAUUUCGCACCGCAUUUAAU